AUUUUUGUUUUUGUAACCAUGAUUUUGCUUGAAUAAAGCCGGUAUUACUCGUGAUAUGUGGGUCACAGACCCACACAUUUAUUAAACUGAUUUUUGUUCAGAAAAAGUGGUAAAGAAGCUUGCUUCAACCACUUUGAAGAUCUUCUCAGUAUUGCAUUACUUCUGAGUUAGGUCUAACCCCA
rnacentral:snRNA from 1 species